GACUUUGGGCUUUGGAAUUUGACAAUUUUACCCCUUUCAUCUGAGCUUCUCUUUCCUCCUUCAUCUUCGCAGCUUCUUCUCCACAAUCCAACUUUUCUGCAAAAAAAAAAUCUGUUAUCCCAAAAAUCUUUUAUAGUUGCAAUUCCCCAUUGAUUCAAGAUUACUAAACCCUAAAGAUGAUACUAUACAGGGAACCCAAGUAAAAAAAUCAAGCAGACUUUAUACGUUUUAGAUGUGUACAUAGUGAACUGGUUCCUCUCGAUUGCGUUUACAGAAACUAAUCCCUAAGAGAACUAGUAAAUAUGGAACCUAAGGGGAAAAUCAAAUGAAUUG